rnacentral:misc_RNA from 1 species
GAAUGAAGAACGCAGCGAAAUGCGAUAAGUAGUGUGAAUUGCAGAAUUCAGUGAAUCAUCGAAUCUUUGAACGCACAUUGCGCCCCUUGGUAUUCCAUGGGGCAUGCCUGUUCGAGCGUCAUUUGUACCUUCAAGCUUUGCUUGGUGUUGGGUGUUUGUCCUGAGGGACUCGCCUUAAAGUAAUUGGCAGCCAGUGUUUUGGUUUUGAAGCGCAGCACAAGUCGCGAUUCAAAGCUAUACGCCAGCUUCCACAAGCCUUUUUCACUUUUGACCUCGGAUCAGGUAGGGAUACCCGCUGAACUUAAGCAUAUCAAUAAGCGGAGGA